AUUAAGAACUCUUAAAAGCCAAAAGGUAAAUGAAAGCAGAACCCACAGAUAGGCAUUGAAGUCAGCUUCCAUUCAGACGUCAUUGGCCAAACCAGUAUUGAGUCAUCACUGGUAAGUAGCAGCUCAGCCAGAGAUUACAUCUCCCCAUCACACAUCCCUCACAUCUGUAUGGAACAACAGGACUAAUUCUCAGUCAUAGAAGGUGAAUACAAAAGAUUCCCAGGUCCCAGAGGAUGGUGGAGCUUCAAGAAGAAAGUAGCCUUGGUCCCUAAAUUAUCACAUGGAGAAAAGGGGCACUCCCACCAGAAACACCUAAAUUGGACUAUUAUAUGAUUGAGAAAUAAACUUUUAUUAUGUUAAGCUA
rnacentral:lncRNA from 1 species